UACGAAGGGGGCUAGCGUUGUUCGGAAUUACUGGGCGUAAAGCGCGCGCAGGCGGUCUUCCAAGUCAGUGGUGAAAGCCCGGAGCUCAACUCCGGAACUGCCAUUGAAACUGUUAGACUUGAGGAUGAGAGAGGUGAGUGGAAUUCCCAGUGUAGAGGUGAAAUUCGUAGAUAUUGGGAAGAACACCGGUGGCGAAGGCGGCUCACUGGCUCAUAUCUGACGCUCAGGCGCGAAAGCGUGGGGAUCAAACAGG
rnacentral:rRNA from 1 species